rnacentral:rRNA from 1 species
GGCGACCGGCGCACGGGUGCGUAACGCGUAUGUAACCUACCUAUAACAGGGGCAUAACACUGAGAAAUUGGUACUAAUUCCCCAUAAUAUUCGGAGAGGCAUCUCUCCGGGUUGAAAACUCCGGUGGUUAUAGAUGGACAUGCGUUGUAUUAGCUAGUUGGUGAGGUAACGGCUCACCAAGGCAACGAUACAUAGGGGGACUGAGAGGUUAACCCCCCACACUGGUACUGAGACACGGACCAGACUCCUACGGGAGGCAGCAUG